rnacentral:rRNA from 1 species
UUCUGUGGCCAAAUCACCCUGAACAUGCCUGAUCUCAUCAGAUCUCAAAAGGUAAGCAGAGUCAGGCCUCGUUAGUACUUGGAUGGAAAAAUUUAAUUUGAUUCAAGAU